UGAGUCUAUGAGUCAAAUCCCACUCUGAGCACCAACUCCUGAGAGCAGAAGUAGCAUUAGGAGACACACAUCUGGAAGCAGAAUACCAUGUUAUGUCCUGAUACAGCUGCCCUCACACUUCCUGCUUGAACCAACCCAAGGAGAGCAGAAAUCUUCCACAUAGCAAUCAUUGCCACUAAAUACACACCCUUGUGAAAGCUGGCUUAGUCCUGGUCUUCAUUCCUCACGAACCAAUCUUGCAAAGAGGAUGAGAUGCCAAAGGGAGAAGAAAAGCGCUAUUAAUGCAGCAGUCCAACCAAUAUCCAGCAAGGCAGCUGCGAAGGAUCGGUUCCCAUUGUGCCCCCAUGCACAGGAGCCUUCUCCCCACCAUCUCCGGACUUCACAUCUCCUCCACGUUGACCUCCAGAUGUCUCCAUGAAGGUCUCCAAGGCCACUGAUGUUUUCACAUCAUGUUUUCCCACCCAGGGGCACCAGGUGACGACGGAAGGGAAUGGGAUGAUCACAACAUCGAGAGAGCUUAACCCAAGCAAGCGGAGGAUUUAAUAAACUCCUGGCCUAGCCUGCUGCCUGCA
rnacentral:lncRNA from 1 species